AUGUCAAAAGCAUGCCCUGGAUGUAGAUGGAACGAAAAUAUUCUCCUAUGGCAUAAAAAAAUCCUAGAUGAUAUUCCAGUUUACAACAGGGAACUGUCCGGUUAUCUUGUUCCCAUGUUCAUGUCCACAUGGGAAGAUGAAAGACCACAUUUGCCAUUUUUAAAGGAUGGAUAUGAUCUCAGAAAACUAAUUUUGGGCCAACUGCUAACAUUCAAGGACAAUGAAUGUGAAGAUAACAUGCCUGCCGGUGUACUUGAAUUCAUCAGUUGUAUCAGGAAAAUCCAAUGUAAAACUGGACGUGCGUGCUAUUUCUAA
rnacentral:rRNA from 1 species